GACCCAAUGGCACAAUGGUUAGUGUGCUUGCUUCAGUUAGUGCUACAGUGAUUCUAGGCAAGAGGUCUCCCGUUCGAUUCGGGGUUGGGUCA